UCGUAGCCCGACUUGAGCGGAAAUCCUUUUUUGCUUGUACACUAGUUCUAUUUCUUCUAAAAUUUCCAGCAAAAAAGAUUGGGAGCCCUUCUACAAGCUCAGGA
rnacentral:misc_RNA from 1 species